CAGCAGCCACGGGAAUACGUAGGGUGCAAGCGUUAAUCGGAAUUACUGGGCGUAAAGCGUGCGCAGGCGGUUAUAUAAGACAGAUGUGAAAUCCCCCGGCUCAACCUGGGAACUGCAUUUGUGACUGUAUAGCUAGAGUACGGCAGAGGGGGAUGGAAUUCCGCGUGUAGCAGUGAAAUGCGUAGAUAUGCGGAGGAACACCGAUGGCGAAGGCAAUCCCCUGGGCCUGUACUGACGCUCAUGCACGAAAGCGUGGGGAGCAAACAGGAUUAGAUACCCGUGUAGUCCCUGUCUCUUAUAC
rnacentral:rRNA from 1 species